AUACAAAAGCGGAGGAAAAGAAACCAACAGGGAUUGCCUUAGUAACGGCGAGUGAAGCGGCAACAGCUCAAAUUUGAAAUCUGGCCCCCUCGGGGUCCGAGUUGUAAUUUGUAGAGGAUGCUUCGGCGAGGGCUCCCGUCUAAGUUCCUUGGAACAGGACGUCGUAGAGGGUGAGAAUCCCGUAUGCGAUGGGUUGCCCGAGCCAUGUGAAGCUCCUUCGACGAGUCGAGUUGUUUGGGAAUGCAGCUCUAAAUGGGAGGUAAAUUUCUUCUAAAGCUAAAUACCGGCCAGAGACCGAUAGCGCACAAGUAGAGUGAUCGAAAGAUGAAAAGCACUUUGGAAAGAGAGUUAAAAAGUACGUGAAAUUGUUGAAAGGGAAGCGCUUGCAGCCAGACUCGUCCGCAGUUGCUCAGCCGGUCUCCUGACCGGUGUACUCUUCUGCGGCCGGGCCAGCAUCAGUUCGGGCGGUCGGAUAAAGGUCCCGGGAAUGUAGCUCCUCUCGGGGAGUGUUAUAGCCCGGGGCGGAAUGCGGCCAGCCCGGACUGAGGAUCUCGCUUCGGCUAGGAUGCUGGCGUAAUGGCUGUAAGCGGCCCGUCUUGAAACACGGACCAAGGAGUCUAACAUCUACGCGAGUGUUUGGGUGUCAAACCCAAGCGCGUAAUUAAAGUGAACGGAGGUGGGAACCCCUCGCGGGGCGCACCAUCGACCGAUCCUGAUGUCUUCGGAUGGAUUUGAGUAAGAGCGUAGCUGUUGGGACCCGAAAGAUGGUGAACUAUGCCUGAAUAGGGUGAAGCCAGAGGAAACUCUGGUGGAGGCUCGCAGCGGUUCUGACGUGCAAAUCGAUCGUCAAAUUUGGGUAUAGGGGCGAAAGACUAAUCGAACCAUCUAGUAGCUGGGUUC
rnacentral:rRNA from 1 species